rnacentral:rRNA from 1 species
GGGCCCGCACAAGCGGUGGAGUAUGUGGUUUAAUUCGAUGCAACGCGAAGAACCUUACCUGGUCUUGACAUCCCGAAAAAGCCCUGGAAACAGGGAAGUGCUCUCUUUGAGAGAAUUUGGUGACAGGUGCUGCAUGGCUGUCGUCAGCUCGUGUCGUGAGAUGUUGGGUUAAGUCCCGCAACGAGCGCAACCCUCGCCAUUAGUUGCCAGCAUUGAGUUGGGUACUCUAAUGGGACUGCCGGUGUCAAACCGGAGGAAGGCGGGGAUGACGUCAAGUCCUCAUGGCCUUUAUGACCAGGGCUACACACGUACUACAAUGGCCGGUACAACGGGCAGCCACUUCGCAAGAAGGCGCAAAUCCCUUAAAGCCGGUCUCAGUCCGGAUUGGAGUCU